UCAAUUAUACAGGAAUUAAUUUACUAACUAGAAUACAAAAUCUGAAAAUGAAACCCCAGAAAGCAUUAUGAGAAAAUUGUUGAAAGUCGGGACAUUAGUUACCUGGAAAAGCACUGAGGCUCACAUUUCCUCUGGAUGUCCACUUGGGAUUGCACAAGCUGCUAGAAGACACCCUUUGGUUCUUGCAUGUGGCCCCUUUCUGUCUUCAAAGGCAGCAACAAUACACUGAACCCUUCUUGUGAUUCAAAUCACUUUGACUUCUCGGGCUGCAAGCCAGAACUAUGGUGUGCAGUCUGGAUGCACCAAGCCAAGAUCUGCAGUGAGCACUCAAGUUGGAGAGGAGCCUACACUGACUU
rnacentral:lncRNA from 1 species